rnacentral:rRNA from 1 species
GCACAAGCGGUGGAGCAUGUGGUUUAAUUCGAUGCAACGCGAAGAACCUUACCAGGGCUUGACAUCCCCUGACCGCGUAUGAAAGUACGUUUUCACCCUCGGGUGACAGGGAGACAGGUGGUGCAUGGUUGUCGUCAGCUCGUGUCGUGAGAUGUUGGGUUAAGUCCCGCAACGAGCGCAACCCCUACGUUUAGUUGCUAACGCGUGAAGGCGAGCACUCUAGACGAACUGCCGUUGACAAAACGGAGGAAGGUGGGGAUGACGUCAAAUCAUCAUGCCCCUUAUGUUCUGGGCUACACACGUGCUACAAUGGCCGGUACAGACGGAGGCGAAGCCGCGAGGCGGAGCAAAUCCGAAAAAGCCGGUCUCAGUUCGGAUUGAAGUCUGCAACUCGACUUCAUGAAGUCGGAAUCGCUAGUAAUCGCGGAUCAGAACGCCGCGGUGAAUACGUUCUCGGGGUUU